CAAAGGUGGAGACGGAGUCGGCAUCCUAGGAAAAAACUUAUUUCAUUACAGAUAUAUAGAAAGAUUAGAAACAGAUAGUGUAGUAGGAAAAUUAGAGGAGAAAAGAGGCUGAAUAACUUGGUUUACGUGGAAUAUCAAUCGCUACCUUCGUAGGCCACAGGCAUCUUUCCAUUCUCCGGAAGGAGAGGAGGCACUGAGGCCUCCCUGGUCCGAUCUUAGAGGCCCAGGCAGAAUUAGCAGGCUUGGAUGCAGAUUCUCCAAUUUGGGUUCCAGACCAAUUGAUUCACCGUGUCUCAGCCCCUCGGAUACCGGAUUCCCCAGCUGCCACAACCCCUAAAACGGAAGAGACUUCCUCUGCCUCCGCUCCCUCCACCAGCACGGGAAACACUGCCGACAUCAGGACAACUGACAAACAUAAAGAGGUAUGAGAUAGAAGGUUGAUGGGCUCAUGACCAAACUGCAGACAGAAAGUAAAGUUACUGGUCCUGCCCGACUUUUUGGGAUUCCAUGGUCUAUAGCCCACCAGGCUCCUCUGCCCAUGGGACUUUCCAGGUGGAUUGUUUACCAAUUGUGUCACCUAGGAAGCCCUGUUCUGUUUCGUUCCUCCCUUCCCAAGCACGACUGAACAACUGAGCCUUAAAAAGUGUCCACCACCACCCCGCCUUGUGUCCAGGUGGAAAUCAGACACUGAAGAGACCAGCAAACAGAAGAAGCUAAAACAGAG
ensembl:lncRNA